GAGUAACGCGUAGGUAACCUACCUGAUAGCGGGGGAUAACUAUUGGAAACGAUAGCUAAUACCGCAUAAAAGUGCUUAACACAUGUUAAGAACUUAAAAGGGGCAACUGCUCCACUAUGAGAUGGACCUGCGUUGUAUUAGCUAGUUGGUGAGGUAAAGGCUCACCAAGGCGACGAUACAUAGCCGACCUGAGAGGGUGAUCGGCCACACUGGGACUGAGACACGGCCCAGACUCCUACGGGAGGCAGCAGUAGGGAAUCUUCGGCAAUGGGGGGAACCCUGACCGAGCAACGCCGCGUGAGUGAAGAAGGUUUUCGGAUCGUAAAGCUCUGUUGUUAGAGAAGAACGGUAAUGGGAGUGGAAAACCCAUUAUGUGACGGUAACUAACCAGAAAGGGACGGCUAACUACGUGCCAGCAGCCGCGGUAAUACGUAGGUCCCGAGCGUUGUCCGGAUUUAUUGGGCGUAAAGCGAGCGCAGGCGGUUCUUUAAGU
rnacentral:rRNA from 1 species